rnacentral:rRNA from 1 species
AUUGAACGCUGGCGGCAUGCCUUACACAUGCCAGUCGAACGGCAGCACGGGUGCUUGCACCUGGUGGCGAGUGGCGAACGGGUGAGUAUUACAUCGGAACAUGUCCUGUAGUGGGGGAUAGCCCGGCGAAAGCCGGAUUAAUACCGCAUACGAUCUACGGAUGAAAGCGGGGGACCUUCGGGCCUCGCGCUAUAGGGUUGGCCGAUGGCUGAUUAGCUAGUUGGUGGGGUAAAGGCCUACCAAGGCGACGAUCAGUAGCUGGUCUGAGAGGACGACCAGCCACACUGGGACUGAGACACGGCCCAGACUCCUACGGGAGGCAGCAGUGGGGAAUUUUGGACAAUGGGCGAAAGCCUGAUCCAGCAAUGCCGCGUGUGUGAAGAAGGCCUUCGGGUUGUAAAGCACUUUUGUCCGGAAAGAAAUCCUUGGCCCUAAUACGGUCGGGGGAUGACGGUACCGGAAGAAUAAGCACCGGCUAACUACGUG